rnacentral:rRNA from 1 species
GGAUUAGAUACCCUGGUAGUCCACGCCGUAAACGAUGAACACUAGGUGUAGGGGGCUCUUGCACCCUCUGUGCCGUAGCUAACGCGUUAAGUGUUCCGCCUGGGGAUUACGGCCGCAAGGCUAAAACUCAAAGAAAUUGACGGGGGCCCGCACAAGCGGUGGAGGAUGUGGUUUAAUUCGAUACAACGCGAAGAACCUUACCUGGGCUUGACAUCCCGCGCUAUCCAGAGAAAUUUGGAGUUCCCUUCGGGGACGCGGUGACAGGUGCUGCAUGGCUGUCGUCAGCUCGUGCCG